rnacentral:sRNA from 2 species
ACCGGGCAGUCGCCGAGCUCUGCCGCUCCCCGGUGCCCCAACAACCCAGGCAGAGACGGGGGACCCAGAGUCUCCGGACCGCCAACCGUUCAUGGCCGGUCCUAGGGGUGAAGCCGCACAACCAGAAUCUCGCUGGCGCGCGGCCGGAUGGCCUCAUCCGAAUCCGACAGCUAACUCCGCAGGCGUUGAGAGGUAAC